AGGCAUUAAGAUUCCUCCUCGAGGUAAUAUAUUUGUUGUUGUUUUUAAUAUUUUAACAUGUUGCCUUUGGACUACCUUGAACGACAAAAUUUCAUGAUUUCUUCCAUGAUAAAAUAAAAUUAAUCUAUUAUUUGGCAUGGUAUUGUCUUAAGUUGAUUGGAAUUUAAAAGAGUAACAGGAAGCCAAAUGCACCAAGUUUCUGAGUUAUAUAGACAUUUUUCUAUGCUACCCAAAUAGUGGUGAUGUAUAAUUUUACUGGCAGUGGCAAGUCUUUGGUUCUUUAUACUUGGGCCAAAUAUGCUCACCAGGUUUUAGCUUGAAUUUCCACAUAUAUAAUGGAAUCUUAUAUGAAGUUCUCAGAUGUGGUAUAGUAAUGACCACCAUAUUAAUUUCUUUUACAUUGGUCACCAACUCACCAUGCUUGUUUGAAUAGAAGAGAAUGGAAUUAUAAAUUUUGGUGCAGAAGUAAAAUACCAUUUUUGACUCCUGUCUAUUCAUGUCAGGGCAAAUCUAUUCUGUAAAUGA
rnacentral:misc_RNA from 1 species